CGACCCCAGGUCAAGCAGAAAUACCCGCUGAUUUUAAGCAUAUCAAUAAGCGGAGGAAAAGAAACUAACAAGGAUUCCCUUAGUAAUGGCAAUAGAACCGGGAAUAGCCCAACCCUAGAAUUAGGCAGCUCCGUCAUUCGAAUUGUAGUCUAGAGAAGCAUCCACAGUGGCGUACCAAGCCCAAGUACCCUAGAGAGGGCGCCAGAGAGUGUGAGAGCCCCUAUUGUGCCCAAAACCUUUCGGACUAUGAGGCAUUGUCUAAAAGAUGGGUUAUUUGGGAAUGCAACCCAAAUUGGGCAAAGAAUUUUGAUCAAGGCUAAAUACGGGUGAGAGACUGAUAGCGAAAAAGUAUCAUAAAGGAAAAAUGAAAAGGACUUUGAAAAGAGAGUCAAAGAGUGCUUGAAAUUAUCGGUAGAAAAGAGAAUGGGGGCCAUUGAUGUGCCCUGAUUGGUGUUGAAUAGAGAUGAGAUGGUCUGUGAUCGACUCGGGCAAUGGACCAAUGUGGAUUGGGGGGCGAUCAAAGCCCAGGCUCUCAAUAAACUUCUAUAAUUCCAUAUCCUCAAUUGUGGUAGGCAGCGAUGCACCUCUAGAGUGCUUUACCAUCUGCGUGUUCCAAACCCUAACCUGCGGGCUCCCCAUUCAAACCAAAGAGCCUGACAUGUGUGCGAGUCAACGGGCGAGUAAACCCAUAAGGCAUAAGGAAGCUAAUUGGUGGGAUCCUACUGAGGGGUGCAUAACCUACCAACCUUGAUCUUCUAAGAAGGGUUUGAGUGCGAGCAUACCUAUCGGGACUCAAAAUAUGGAGAACUGGGCCUAAUUGGGGUAACGCAAGAGGAAACUCUGGUGGACAUCCAUAGCGAUGAUGAUGUACAAAUUAUUCACCUGACUUGGGUAUAUAGGAUAAAGACUAAUCAAAAUAUAUAGUCAUUGGUUCCCUUCGAUAUUUACUUUAGGAUAGCUGUAACUCGCGUAUGAGUUCUAUUGGGUAACGCCAAUGAUUAGAGGCCUCGGGAGACGCCAUUCACCUAUUCUCAAACUUCAAAUCGGUAGGAUGUCAUGGUUGCUUUGUUGAGCCACACCACAAAAUGAAGUGCUCCAAGUGGGCCAUUUUUAGUAAGAUAAACUGGUGAUGAUAUAUGAACCAGAAUUUAGGUUACGAUGCCAAACUACGCGCUAACCUAGAUCCUACAAAGGGUGUUGGUCGAUUAAGAUAACAAGACAUUGGUCAUAAAAGUCAAAAUCUACUAAGGAGUGUGUAACAACUCACUUUCUAAAUCAACUAGCCCCAAAAAUGGAUUGCACUUAUGAUCGUUAGCUACACCAGGCCGUCUGGACAAGUGUCAGGCUCUGAAGAGUAGGAGUGCAAAGAGAUCGCUACAAAACCGUAGGCGUGAUCCUAGGCGUGAGUAGUCAUCAGUCCAGAUCUUAGUGGUAGUAUCAAAUAUUCAAAUGAUAACUUUAAAGGUCGAAGAGGGGAAAGUUUCCAUGUGAAUGGCACUUACACAUGGGUUAGUUGAUACUAGGAGUCGGGGAAACCCCAACAGAUAGCAUGUUUUAUGCAUACUUCAAAAGGGAAUCAGGUCUAAAUUCUUAAACUAGGAUGUGGCGGCUGACAGAAAUGUUAGAAAUUCCAGAGACAUUGGUGAUAGCCUUGGGAAGAGUUAUCUUUUUUGUUUAAUAGCCUGCUAACCCUAGAAUCAGCUCAUUCGGAGGUAGGGUCCAGCGGCUGGAAGAGCACCACACGUCAUGUGGUAUCUAGUGCACUCUUAGAGGCCCAUGAAAAUCCAAAGGAUCAAAUGACAUCCAUACCUAGUCAUACUCAUAAACUCAUCAGUCUCCAAGGUGAACAACCUCUGGUAGAUGGAAUAACACAGGAAAGGAAAGUCAAAAAAAUAGAUCUGUAACUUUGUGGAAAAAAUUACCUCUAAGGGAUGGGCAUGGGGGUCCCAGCCCCGAACUUGUUGGAUGUCAUUGGACUACUCGAUCUGCUCUUACGGUGAGAGUGGGUCACCACAUGCUAAUUGGGGGAAGAACUGGGAAUUAUUCCUUUGAAGGCCUUCCCUGUGCGUUGAACAACCUACUCAAAACCGGUACGGACAAGGGGAAUCUAACUAUUUAAUUAAAACAAAGCAUUGAGAUUGUCCUAAUAGAUGUUAACGCAAUGUCAUUUUUGCCCAGUGCUCUAAAUGUCAAGGUGAAGAAACUCAACCAAUCACGGGUAAAUGGUGGGAGUAACUAUAACUCUCUUAAGGUAUAAAACUACCUCAUUAUCUAAUGAGUGAUACGCAUGAAUAGAUUAAUGAUAUUCCCAUUGUCCCUGCCUACUAUCCAGUGAAACUACAGCCAAAGCAACGGGCUUGGCACAAUCAUUAGGGAAAGAAAACCCUGUUGAGCUUGACUCUAGUAUGACUUUGUUAAAUGACUUGAGAGGUGUAGUAUAUGUCGGAACCAAAAGGCGUUAAUGAAAUACCACUACUAUUAACGUUAUUUUACUUAUUUCUUGAAUCGAAAGCAGGGAACUGCCCUUCUUUUUAGCCCCAAGGCUCACUCUGCAGGCCAAUAUGGGCAAAAAAAAUUGUCAGGUAGGGAUUUUUGUAGGGGUGGUACAUUUGUUAAAAUAUUAUGUAGGUGUCCUAAGAUAAGCUUAACGAGAACAGAAAUCUCGUUUGGAAAAAAAGUGUAAAAGCUCAUUUGUUUUAGAUUUCCAGUACAAAUACGAACUGUGAAAGCAUGGCCUAACGAUCCUUUAAACCUUUGGAAUUCGAAUCUAGAAGUGUCAGAAAAGUUACUGGAGGGAUAACUGGCUUGUGGAAGCUAAGCAUUCAUAGCGACAUUGCUUUUUGAUCCUUUGAUAUCGGCUCUUCCUAUCAUAAUGAAACAAAAUUCACCUAGUAUUGGAUAUUUUACCCACUAAUAGGGAACGUGAGAUGGGUUUAGACCAUUGUGAAAUAGGUUAGUUUUACCUUACUGAUGACAGUGUUGCAAUAGUAAUUCAACCUAGUACUGGAGGAACCGUUGAUUCACAUAAUUGGUCAUUGCGCUUGGUUACAAAUCUAGUGGUGUAAAGUUACCAUAUGUUGGAUUAUGACUGAAUGUUUUUAAGUUAGAAUUUGGACUAAAAGUGAUGCAUGCACCCUCCGUCUGCUUGCCGACCCACAGUAGGGGCCUCGGCCCCCAAGGGCAUAUGUCUUUGGCUAAGCCAUUGCAGGAAAAGGGUCAAGGUGGCCACCUUUAAGUACUAUUUUCAUCGAGCAAUGGGUAGAAUCCAGUGUAGAUAGCUUAAAUAUGCGACGGAGUAUUGUAAAUGGCAGAGUGGCCUUGCUGUCAUGAUCCACUUAGAUUC
rnacentral:rRNA from 1 species